rnacentral:rRNA from 1 species
ACUGCUCAGUAACACGUGGACAACUACCCUAAGGAGGGGGAUAACCCCGGGAAACUGGGGAUAAUACCCCAUAGACUAGAGAAGCUGGAAUGCUCUCAAGUCCAAAGGUCCGCCGCCUUAGGAUGGGUCUGCGGUCGAUUAGGUUGUUGUUGGGGUAACGGCCCAACAAGCCCGUGAUCGAUACGGGUUGUGAGAGCAAGAGCCCGGAGAUGGAUUCUGAGACACGAAUCCAGGCCCUACGGGGCGCAGCAGGCGCGAAAACUUUACAAUGCGGGAAACCGUGAUAAGGGAACCCCGAGUGCCCGUAAAUUCGGGCUGUCCAUCAGCGUAAAUAACUGGUGAAGAAAGGGCCGGGCAAGACCGGUGCCAGCCGCCGCGGUAAUACCGGCGGCUCGAGUGGUGGCCACUAUUAUUGGGCUUAAAGCGUCCGUAGCUUGGUUGUUAAGUCUCUUGGGAAAUCUACCGGCUCAACCGGUAGGCGUUCAGGAGAUACUGGCAAUCUAGGGACCGGGAGAGGUGAGAGGUACUCCAGGGGUAGGAGUGAAAUCCUGUAAUCCUUGGGGGACCACCUGUGGCGAAGGCGUCUCACUAGAACGGCUCCGACAGUGAGGGACGAAAGCUGGGGGAGCAAACCGGAUUAGAUACCCGGGUAGUCCCAGCUGUAAACGAUGCGCGUUAGGUGUAUCGGUGACCACGAGUCACCGAGGUGCCGAAGGGAAACCGUGAAACGUGCCGCCUGGGAAGUACGGUCGCAAGGCUGAAACUUAAAGGAAUUGGCGGGGGAGCAC